GCUGGCGGCAGGCCUAACACAUGCAAGUCGAACGGUAACAGGAAACAGCUUGCUGUUUCGCUGACGAGUGGCGGACGGGUGAGUAAUGUCUGGGAAACUGCCUGAUGGAGGGGGAUAACUACUGGAAACGGUAGCUAAUACCGCAUAACGUCGCAAGACCAAAGAGGGGGACCCUCGGGCCUCUUGCCAUCGGAUGUGCCCAGAUGGGAUUAGCUUGUUGGUGGGGUAACGGCUCACCAAGGCGACGAUCCCUAGCUGGUCUGAGAGGAUGACCAGCCACACUGGAACUGAGACACGGUCCAGACUCCUACGGGAGGCAGCAGUGGGGAAUAUUGCACAAUGGGCGCAAGCCUGAUGCAGCCAUGCCGCGUGUAUGAAGAAGGCCUUCGGGUUGUAAAGUACUUUCAGCGGGGAGGAAGGGAGUAAAGUUAAUACCUUUGCUCAUUGACGUUACCCGCAGAAGAAGCACCGGCUAACUCCGUGCCAGCAGCCGCGGUAAUACGGAGGGUGCAAGCGUUAAUCGGAAUUACUGGGCGUAAAGCGCACGCAGGCGGUUUGUUAAGUCAGAUGUGAAAUCCCCGGGCUCAACCUGGGAACUGCAUCUGAUACUGGCAAGCUUGAGUCUCGUAGAGGGGGGUAGAAUUCCAGGUGUAGCGGUGAAAUGCGUAGAGAUCUGGAGGAAUACCGGUGGCGAAGGCGGCCCCCUGGACGAAGACUGACGCUCAGGUGCGAAAGCGUGGGGAGCAAACAGGAUUAGAUACCCUGGUAGUCCACGCCGUAAACGAUGUCGACUUGGAGGUUGUGCCCUUGAGGCGUGGCUUCCGGAGCUAACGCGUUAAGUCGACCGCCUGGGGAGUACGGCCGCAAGGUUAAAACUCAAAUGAAUUGACGGGGGCCCGCACAAGCGGUGGAGCAUGUGGUUUAAUUCGAUGCAACGCGAAGAACCUUACCUGGUCUUGACAUCCACGGAAGUUUUCAGAGAUGAGAAUGUGCCUUCGGGAACCGUGAGACAGGUGCUGCAUGGCUGUCGUCAGCUCGUGUUGUGAAAUGUUGGGUUAAGUCCCGCAACGAGCGCAACCCUUAUCCUUUGUUGCCAGCGGUCCGGCCGGGAACUCAAAGGAGACUGCCAGUGAUAAACUGGAGGAAGGUGGGGAUGACGUCAAGUCAUCAUGGCCCUUACGACCAGGGCUACACACGUGCUACAAUGGCGCAUACAAAGAGAAGCGACCUCGCGAGAGCAAGCGGACCUCAUAAAGUGCGUCGUAGUCCGGAUUGGAGUCUGCAACUCGACUCCAUGAAGUCGGAAUCGCUAGUAAUCGUGGAUCAGAAUGCCACGGUGAAUACGUUCCCGGGCCUUGUACACACCGCCCGUCACACCAUGGGAGUGGGUUGCAAAAGAAG
rnacentral:rRNA from 1 species